UACGUAGGGGGCAAGCGUUGUCCGGAAUCAUUGGGCGUAAAGCGCGCGUAGGCGGCCCUGUAAGUCCGUUGUGAAAGUCAAAGGCUCAACCUUUGAAAGCCGAUGGAUACUGCAGGGCUAGAGUCCGGAAGAGGCGAGUGGAAUUCCUGGUGUAGCGGUGGAAUGCGCAGAUAUCAGGAGGAACACCAAUAGCGAAGGCAGCUCGCUGGGAUGGUACUGACGCUAAGGCGCGAAAGCGUGGGGAGCGAACAGG
rnacentral:rRNA from 1 species